GUGCUCAAUUUGGCAGCACAUAUACUAAAUUUGGAAUGAUACAGAGAUUAGCAUGGCCCCUGCGCAAGGAUGACACCAAAUUUGUGAAGUGUUCCAUAUUUUU
rnacentral:snRNA from 1 species